rnacentral:rRNA from 1 species
GUUGAUUCAUCUUGACAGUUGGACAGUGGCCAUGGAAGUCGGAAUCUGCUAAGGAGUGUGUAACAACUCACCAACCGAAUGAAUUAGCCCUGAAAAUGGAUGGCGCUUAAACGUAUUACUUAUACUUUACCAUUAAAAUAAAUGCUAAAUUUUAAUGAGUAGGAGGGCGUAUGGAUAAUUUAGAAGACUGGCAGUAAUGCUGGUUGGAAUUAUCUUUAGUGCAGAUCUUGGUGGUAGUAGCAAAUAUUCAAUAGAGAACAUUGAAGACUGAAGUGGAGAAAGGUUUCACAUGAACAACACUUGGAUGUGAGUUAGUCGAUCCUAAACGGUGGGUUAACUCCAAAUACAUAGAUACUUGUAUCUUGUACCGUGAAAGGGAAACAGGUUAAUAUUCCUGUACUAUAUCAAGGAGGUAAAGUGGC